UAGAUAUAUUAAUAGGUCACAAGUUAAACCUGGGUGUCUGCUUGCUCACUUUUUGAAAAUAAAACCCUAUGUGCCAAGUGUUGUCAAUAAGGUCACUUGCACAAGGCGUCUAUUUAGUCUCAGAGUCAGCAAAGCCAAAUCAGUGGUCUGGGGAGAAGAAACAGCUACUUGAACUUCAUAGGUUAAGAAAAUCCCCAGCUGAAGUGGAUCAUCAUUAAUAAGUUUCCAGUUACAUCCAAAGUAACGUCAACACUGAUGUUUUGCGAUCGGGUUGCUGGAGGAGGAAAUUGCUUUCCCAUCCUGGGAAAAUUUAGAAGAUUUUGAUUGCUUCCUCCUAUUCAGAUGGAAUCCUUGGGAUGUAUCCUAUUACCAGCUUCCAGCGCCUGCCACAAGGACUCGCACAGAGCACAGAAUCUGGCCCAGUUACAGAGUCAGUUCUUCAGCCAGGAUCUGUCACAACAGACUUGGACUGAAUGCAGACAUGGCCUUUUCCAACACAGUGAAGAAAAAGCUGAUGAAGUACUGUGGACCUAGGUUUUGAGAGGGUUUUUGCCCAUCUCUGAGAUGGGAAAGCCUUUCAUCUGCUCCAAGAUAGAGAGUAAGUUGAAAGUGAAGAGACCAGCAGUUUCCCAUGCAACCCCCAACUUGGGAAAGCAGGUGGAGUGGAGAGGAGAAACCACCUUUCAAUUGUGUUUUAAUGAACAAGUUGUUUGCUCUUCUGUGUCCUUUGAUGAAUGGGUGUUUUCGUUCAAAAGCUGACGUUUGUUUUUCAUUACGCCCAGCAUAUGCUCUACUAGGCAGGACCGUUUUUCUACUCUAGAUAAAUAAACAUGAAAAUGAAUUUA